CAAGGGGCAGACUGCUGCAGACCGUCACUGUCUACGGAAGGUUCCGGAAACGCCUCCAGGAAGAGGCAGCUGCAAUUACGAUGCUGCGUUGGAGAACAGACUGGUGUUUUCUUCCACUUACGGCUGUGCAAAAUGUAAAUCCGCCGGCAGCCGAUAGGCCUGCGGGAAGCUGAGUCACGUGGGCUUCUGCAUCCUCAAGGAAGAUGCGCCCUGACUGUAAGCCUAGUGGCCCCCACAGUUCUCCAGCAGUGGCUGUGGACCUGAGAGGCCCCUCACUGGACAAGGCGCUGCCUAAAGGACACUGGCUGUCUUUCUGUCAGGAAUGUUGAGCAGGAAGCCUUUGGGAUGGAAGGCUGCAAGCACACUCGCUUCCUAGGAGUCCGGCUCUCUGUUGCCACACAGCCUCUGAUGGUUGGUCGUGGUGAUGCCAGUCUGACAGGGGCACAGAUCAAGUAGGAGACAUACUUCUGGUCUUCCAGAUGGAUGAAGGUCAGCAUCUCUCCAGGAAUGGUCCAGGCCUCCAGAUCAGACUGGAACUUCUGAAGUGUACAGAUUCAUGAAUGGCUACUGAGGGUUCUCAGCCUCUCCAGCACACAGACACCCAUUGAUGCUGCUGUAACCCAUUCUAAUCAACCCCUCUUUAUAACAGACAUGCCCACAGGCCAGUUUGAUCUGGACAAUUCUUCCAUGAAGCCCUCCUCAAUCACUUGCUUGGGAGACAUCUCUUUGAGGUCAGUCUGAGUGCUGCUGUUCACUGCCUUGCAUUGUUGCUAUGGCCCUGGUGUGAUGCUGCUGUUGUCUUACGUGCCUGUUGAAAAGGCUGAAGUCGUACGUUAAAGAUAAGUGUGCCAAAGAGGCCCCAAUCAGACACACGAGUGGGAAACAGCAGUGGAGUUAAUGUCUUCUGCCAGGAUCCUGUCAGCGAAUCAAGCCCAUCUCAGUCCUUCAAGCCGUCAUCUCAUCCUGAACGGUCCGAUUAUGAUUUCCUCUCUUUCAUUUCUUAAUAUUUCAUAUUCGCUAAAUGAACUUGGUGCUAUGUGCUAGGUCCCCAGCCUCUUUAGAAGCCUUUGGUACUUGUUCCUCUAAGAACUCAGUCUCGAGGGGAACCUGGCAUAUGGGAGUAUAUAAUAAAGGGGGAGGCUUUACUCACUCAGGCCUGGGGCCAGCAUUCUGCAAGGAUGAGCAUCAGAAGCCUUAUCUUUUACCAGGGGACACAUGUGACCCACGGCAUCUCCUGUUAGAAGUGAGGCUGGUGUGUGUGUGUGUGUGUGUGUGUGUGUGUGUGUGUGUGUGUGUGAUGGACAACACAGCAGGGCAGGCUGGACAAGAAUAAUGGAGAUUUUGGCAGCUUCUGGGCAUAGGAGGCUUUGAGGAGACGGGUGGAUGCCUAAAGAGGAUUUUUAUAAGGCUUUUCUGUGUAUUGUGAGAUGUAAUCCCCUCUUUCUCUUGGCAGUGUCCUUUAAGAAAAACCUGGCAGAUCUGGAGACUGGCAAUUACCAGCUGGGCCCAGAGUGCUUCACAGUGGGCAUGGGAGGUGAUGCUGAC